rnacentral:rRNA from 1 species
GACGAACGCUGGCGGCGUGCCUAAUACAUGCAAGUCGAGCGAGCUUGCCUAGAUGAAUUUGGUGCUUGCACCAAAUGAAACUAGAUACAAGCGAGCGGCGGACGGGUGAGUAACACGUGGGUAACCUGCCCAAGAGACUGGGAUAACACCUGGAAACAGAUGCUAAUACCGGAUAACAACACUAGACGCAUGUCUAGAGUUUAAAAGAUGGUUCCGCUAUCACUCUUGGAUGGACCUGCGGUGCAUUAGCUAGUUGGUAAGGUAACGGCUUACCAAGGCAAUGAUGCAUAGCCGAGUUGAGAGACUGAUCGGCCACAUUGGGACUGAGACACGGCCCAAACUCCUACGGGGGGCAGCAGUAGGGAAUCUUCCACAAUGGACGCAAGUCUGAUGGAGCAACGCCGCGUGAGUGAAGAAGGGUUUCGGCUCGUAAAGCUCUGUUGGUAGUGAAGAAAGAUAGAGGUAGUAACUGGCCUUUAUUUGACGGUAAUUACUUAGAAAGUCACGGCUAACUACGUGCCAGCAGCCGCGGUAAUACGUAGGUGGCAAGCGUUGUCCGGAUUUAUUGGGCGUAAAGCGAGUGCAGGCGGUUCAAUAAGUCUGAUGUGAAAGCCUUCGGCUCAACCGGAGAAUUGCAUCAGAAACUGUUGAACUUGAGUGCAGAAGAGGAGAGUGGAACUCCAUGUGUAGCGGUGGAAUGCGUAGAUAUAUGGAAGAACCCCAGUGGCGAAGGCGGCUCUCCUGGUCUGCAACUGACGCUGAGCUCGAAACGUGGGUAGCGAACGG